rnacentral:rRNA from 1 species
CUACGCACUCCUACGGGAGGCAGCAGUGGGGAAUAUUGCACAAUGGGCGCAAGCCUGAUGCAGCCAUGCCGCGUGUAUGAAGAAGGCCUUCGGGUUGUAAAGUACUUUCAGCAGUGAGGAAGGUGGGUAUGUUAAUAGCAUAUUCAUUUGACGUUAGCUGCAGAAGAAGCACCGGCUAACUCCGUGCCAGCAGCCGCGGUAAUACGGAGGGUGCGAGCGUUAAUCGGAAUUACUGGGCGUAAAGCGCAUGCAGGUGGUUUGUUAAGUCAGAUGUGAAAGCCCGGGGCUCAACCUCGGAAUUGCAUUUGAAACUGGCAAACUAGAGUACUGUAGAGGGGGUAGAAUUUCAGGUGUAGCGGUGAAAAUGCGUAGAGAUCUGAAGGAAUACCGGUGGCGAAGGCGGCCCCCUGGACAGAUACUGACACUCAGAUGCGAAAGCGUGGGGAGCAAACAGGAUUAGAUAACCUGGUAG